rnacentral:lncRNA from 1 species
CCAGGUCGCCAAAGUCAAGCAUCGAACUAAUUUGCAAAUGCACAUUUAACUUUUUAAUCCCUACAAAGUUGCUCUUGGCCCUACCAGCCAAGAGAAAAUACAAAAAUACCCUUUCUUGAUUUUGAUUCGUCAAUGCUAAUGUCCUUAGUCAAACAACCAUCGCUAUCAGCUUAGAAAAUCAGGCCAAGGAAAAGAAUGAGGGAGUGAAGCCAUUUCAGACUUGCUAGGGCUUGAACCCUUUUUUUC